GCUACAAACGGCAACAAAGGGGUCAUUCCCCUUCCUCUCCCCGCCCUCUUCGCUCCCCUCCUCCCCGAGCCCCAGCUUCAUUCCAUUGAUGAGGUCUAACGUUCAUGGAUUCCACUAGGUGAAGGUGGAGGUGCUCAAACCCUAGAUCGGGCUUGAAGGAAGAAACACGGUGGAACAGCUCCUCCUUUCUUCGGAAUCCAACCCCCGGAAACCCUCAUCUCAGAUAUUUCUUCACCCUAGAUCCGUUCCCUAGAUCAGUUGAUCUGAAGAUCGGGUCAGGUUUUGAAGAGAACAACACGAUCUCUUUGCCUCGGAUCCGUUCUUUAAAUCAGUCGAUCUGAAGAUCAUGUCAGGUUCUUGAGGAUGUGCUGGAUCCAUCUUAUGCUGUAAAAUUUUGGCCGGGAGUCUUUGAAGACACUUAUAUCCAUGCCUUCUUCUUGGGGCUUGGAUAAACUUCAAGAACAGAUUUAGGUGAUGUGGCAUGGGGCUGAGCAUAGCACUUGCCAGCAUUGUACGAGAGUGCAUGCUAUGUUGUACCAUGCCGAUGUGUGCCAUUCAAAAAUAUAUUUGUGUACCGACACACAAUGAUUGAUAUUAUACGAGGAACCCGAGAUGUUGUAAGUCAUCAAAUGAAGAACGGUUGAGGAAAAGGGUUGUUGCUUUUAGGCACUCUUUUGAGAUGGGAAUCGUGUUUAUUAGUUUGGAGCAUUGUGGGCAAGCAUCAUUUGCCCUAGUGACUAUGUGUAAUAUGUAUCAGGUUUCACCCAUGCAUUCAUCUGCACGGGUUUGCGUCGUGGAAUCAGCCGCACACAGUUUAGCGAACUGAGUAGUGACUUGCAAGGUCUUCGCUCAGACUGCACUGCUAAGAUUGACAUAUUCCCUAGCACCUUCAGUGACCAAGCAUUUUUUUUUCAUGGGCACCCCUCGUGGAAAUUCCUGCAGGCGAGGUGAUCCUCUUGUGACUCCAGCUCUUCUGUUUCUUCUACUACCAUUUCUUCCUCCUAGCUUCUUGUUUGUAGAUGCAGUAUGUGCAGCUUGGUUGGCAGAAAAGUUAUCUGCUGGACUAUCUGCCUUCUUUUGAAAGGUGUCCUUGAAACUUAAAAGUUUUCUGGAUUUUUAUAUUCUUAAUUACUGGAUCUUUUCACUCUGUCAUAAAUAGUCGCUGAUUUUCUUUUGUAUAAGUCAACUGACUAAACUCAUCGGAGUAUGCAGCAUUCAAUUAUUUUAUUCAGGAGGCGGUGUACAUGCUUGAAACAUAUCUAGCCCUUUGGUCAAUUAUAUGGUGUAUUUGAGAUGUUAGGUUUUAUCUAUGCACUUUGGUGCUGUGGGCUAGUGUCAUGGAGUCAGCCUCAUACAGUUUGGUGAUAUGUUGUUGGUUUUCCCAAAAGACCAGACACCAGACUGGGGGCAUGUCUAACAUACUAUUGUUCUAUCUACUCGACACAGUCGAUAUUUCUAGGGGGCAUGUCUAACAUACUAUUGCUCUAUCUACUUGACACAGUCACGAGCACCGACAGCGACCAAGCUGCAUUUCUUGAGCUGGUAGAAGGUACUAGAAAUUAAAGGUUGUGAUGGAAACCAUCAGGGCGGGAGAUUGUAUUCCGAGUUUCCAUGCACAAGAUUAGGAGGUGCUUCAUAACAUACUUUGCACUUUAUCUUUUAUUUGUUUUUGUAAUAAACAAAUGUUAUGUUAUGUUUGUUACUAUAUCUUCUUCUUUUUUUUUUCUAAAGAAAACUAAAAACCAACCAAAACAGGCUCAAGUGACUGCAGCGUAAGAACUGUACGGUUGUGUGCACGAUUCUAUCACAUGGUGGUGGAUUGUACGUCAAAGAGCGUAGGUGUACACGUUGUGAAUUGGGUGUAUGAGAGGAGAGUAUAAGAUUCUAGGGCAAAAUGUCAUACGCAGACAUGAAAGUGAGAGAUUAUUACAUGCUCACAAUGAUAUUUUCUCUUGCAGACAUGCAUGAAAGUGAAAGAUUUAUUAUUAUGUACUCACAGUGAUAUUCUCAGUUCCGAGAAAUGCUAAGUUUACAACCACAAGGGUUUGUACCCCUACCACCUCUUGAUAAUCCUAUUUUGGUUUUUAGUUAAAAAACCAAAGUGAUAAGAUUAGCGAGGAAAAGAUGGUCAUUGGAUACGACCCACUAAAAUGCUACUUGUACACCAAAAACGUAAGAGCAAAUCUUACAC